GUUAAGGCUGAGUACUACAUCUAAUUUUAUCGACAAAAGUCGGGGGUCGAAGGAGUCGAAUCCCCUCCCCCUAAAAAUUAUGGCUAUUUUAAUAUUUUCAAUUAGGGGUUUAACCCCCAUAUUAUUUUUUUUGUCGAUAAAAUUAGAUGUAGUACUCGGCCUUAAC
rnacentral:pre_miRNA from 1 species